rnacentral:rRNA from 1 species
AGCAGCCACCUUUUAAAACGCGUCAAAGCGUAACCUAAACCCCCCCAAAAUACCAUUAAUUUUCAUGAACCCCUAAUUUAUAAUGAAUGACUCCAUAUUUAUAUGGAAGACACCAUGCUAGGAUUAGUAACAAGAAUUUAUAAUUCUCCAAAAUGCAAAUAUAAACCAACAUGGAUAGACCAUUGGUAGUUACCGAACCUAAAUUUACUGCAAUAACACCCACAAGAAAACUCUGCAGUACUUACUCGUUAACCUAACACCAGCGCAUUACAGGAAAGAUUAAAAAAAAGAGAAGGAAUUCGGCAAAUGACGGCCCCGCCUGUUUACCAAAAACAUCGCCUCUUGACUUAUAAUAAGAGGUCCAGCCUGCCCAGUGAAUUUUAAACGGCCGCGGUAUCCUAACCGCGCGAAGGUAGCAUAAUCACUUGUUCUUUAAAUGGGGACUCGUAUCAACGGCAUCACGAGGGUUUUACUGUCUCCUCUUUUUGAUCAGUGAAAUUGAUCUUCCCGUGAAGAAGCGGGGAUAUUUUUAUAAGACGAGAAGACCCCAUGGAGCUUUAAACCAAAUAACAACUUAACUACUUAUCCCACAAUAAAUUUAAGCCCUGUUAUAAGGUUUUUGGUUGGGGUGACCGCGGAGUAAAGCACAUCCUCCACGACGGAAAGAACAUAAUCUUUAUUUAAGAACCACACUUCUAGAAAUUAGUAUACUAACGUUUACUGACCCGACAAUCGAUCAACGGACCAAGUUACCCUGGGGAUAACAGCGCAAUCUACUUCAAGAGCUCAUAUCGACAAGUAGGCUUACGACCUCGAUGUUGGAUCAGGGUAUCCCGGUGGUGCAGCCGCUACCGAAGGUUCGUUUGUUCAACGAUUAAAACCCUACGUGAUCU